UACGUAGGGUGCAAGCGUUAAUCGGAAUUACUGGGCGUAAAGCGUGCGCAGGCGGUGAUGUAAGACAGAUGUGAAAUCCCCGGGCUCGACCUGGGAACUGCAUUUGUGACUGCAUCGCUGGAGUGCGGCAGAGGGGGAUGGAAUUCCGCGUGUAGCAGUGAAAUGCGUAGAUAUGCGGAGGAACACCGAUGGCGAAGGCAAUCCCCUGGGCCUGCACUGACGCUCAUGCACGAAAGCGUGGGGAGCAAACAGG
rnacentral:rRNA from 1 species